GACGGAGGAGGCUAGCGUUGUUCGGAAUUACUGGGCGUAAAGCGCGCGCAGGCGGCUUAGCAAGUCAGGGGUGAAAGCCCGGGGCUCAACCUCGGAACUGCCUUUGAGACUGCUAGGCUCGAGACCGAGAGAGGAGAGUGGAAUUCCCAGUGUAGAGGUGAAAUUCGUAGAUAUUGGGAAGAACACCAGUGGCGAAGGCGGCUCUCUGGCUCGGUACUGACGCUGAGGCGCGAAAGCGUGGGGGAGCAAACAGGG
rnacentral:rRNA from 1 species